rnacentral:lncRNA from 1 species
UACAAAAGUCCUAAUAUUUUCAAAUAUAUUUCUACUGUUAAGAUCCGUUAGAAAAAUAUAGUUAACCAUAAGCAAAAUACUUAAUCCUGAUUAGUGAAUAAGAUAAAUUGACCAUUUUAGGUACUCUUUUUUAUAUUAUUUGUGAUGGUAGAAAGGAAGCAAAUAGCCGUUAAAAUUUUUUGGGAGGAUAGAAUUUUGGAGGGACAUAUUUGUGAUAGUAAAAAUAUCAUUUCACUUAUUUUAUUAUGUUAAAAAUAAAUCAUGAUCUAACGCACGGUAACAAAUUAGAAAGAAAAAUAUAAAUAUUAUUAAAUUUUUAUAGAAAUAAAUAAAAAAAGUUAACCUUUAUAGAAAUGUAUUUACGAUUCGAUAUAUUUACAUAGACCUUUAUGAAAAUAAUUUUAAUAUAUAUAUAUAUAAUUGAGCUAGAAUACUCUCAAAAGCACCUUUCUAGCCCUUAGAUCUACUACUUGAUUACUAAUAACUUUUGGAUGAUCAAACACUAUUCCACAUACCACCAUCAUCUCAACCCUAUAUUUCUCCAUCCAAUAACUAAAAACUCAAAAGUAUCAACCCCUUGGUGUUUUUGAGAGUAUUCUAGCUCAACUCUCUCUCUAUAUAUUAUAUAUAUAUAUAUUUUUUGAGAGAUAGGUAGCAUGCUACCCGCUUCCACUACAACAAAAACGGUCUAUAACAACAUUUUUAAAUGUCGGUACAGGUCAAAAAAAGUGCUGUUGGCUAAAUUACCGACACUUUUAAAAAGUGUUGCUAUAUGUGGGGUUGCUAGGUAUAUAGUGGCAGUUAAAGAGUGUCGCUAUAACAUAAAAAGAGUGCUGUUAAUUUACCAACACUUAUUUAAGCAUUUAGCAACCGCUGGAACUCUACCUCGUUGGAUGCGGUGGCGGAGGAGGACGAGAGGAAGAGGAAGGGAUCUUCUUCUAGGAUUUCAGUUGAUUGAGUGAGGGGAGACGGGGAAAUGGUAAUCGAUUUUUCUUUUCUUUUUCUUUUCUGUUUGUAAUCGGGCCGAAUAGGCUGGGUGGGGUGGGUUGAGUAGAAUAACCUUUUAUUUUUGGUUGGAUUGGACUUUAUAUUUAGGCAUUAGUAGAUUUUUUUAAAAUUUUGACAUAAAUGGAACACUUGCACAAAAGUGUCCUAAACAUGUGUUCCUAUAAUCUAAUUAUGUUGUAAUGUUCGUUUAUUUUAUUUAGAAAUAAAAUUUGCUGGAAAUGUAAAUCAACUAGGAUUUGAAUUUAAGUAUCAGGUACCAACCAUCAAGCUCUUUACCAAUUGCUCUAGAAACAGCCGGUUAUAUAUUAUAUAUUGUUAAAAAACACUACAACACUC